rnacentral:rRNA from 1 species
GACGUAGGAUGCGAGCGUUGUUCGGAUUUAUUGGGCGUAAAGCGUACGUAGGCGGCUGCCUAAGUCUGGUGUUAAAGCUAGAGGCUCAACCUCUGUGAUGCACUGGAAACUGGGCGGCUUGAGAGCGGUAGGGGAAGGUGGAAUUCCUGGUGUAGCGGUGAAAUGCGCAGAUAUCAGGAAGAACACCCGUGGCGAAGGCGGCUCUCUGGGACGGUACUGACGCUGAGACGCGAAAGCGUGGGGAGCGAACCGG